GCAGUCGAACGAAGCACUUUAUUUGAUUUCCUUCGGGACUGAUUAUUUUGUCACUGAGUGGCGGACGGGUGAGUAACGCGUGGGUAACCUGCCUUGUACAGGGGGAUAACAGUUGGAAACGGCUGCUAAUACCGCAUAAGCGCACAGCAUCGCAUGAUGCAGUGUGAAAAACUCCGGUGGUAUAAGAUGGACCCGCGUUGGAUUAGCUAGUUGGUGAGGUAACGGCCCACCAAGGCGACGAUCCAUAGCCGACCUGAGAGGGUGACCGGCCACAUUGGGACUGAGACACGGCCCAAACUCCUACGGGAGGCAGCAGUGGGGAAUAUUGCACAAUGGGCGAAAGCCUGAUGCAGCGACGCCGCGUGAGCGAAGAAGUAUUUCGGUAUGUAAAGCUCUAUCAGCAGGGAAGAUAAUGACGGUACCUGACUAAGAAGCACCGGCUAAAUACGUGCCAGCAGCCGCGGUAAUACGUAUGGUGCAAGCGUUAUCCGGAUUUACUGGGUGUAAAGGGAGCGCAGGCGGUGCGGCAAGUCUGAUGUGAAAGCCCGGGGCUCAACCCCGGUACUGCAUUGGAAACUGUCGUACUAGAGUGUCGGAGGGGUAAGCGGAAUUCCUAGUGUAGCGGUGAAAUGCGUAGAUAUUAGGAGGAACACCAGUGGCGAAGGCGGCUUACUGGACGAUAACUGACGCUGAGGCUCGAAAGCGUGGGGA
rnacentral:rRNA from 1 species